rnacentral:lncRNA from 1 species
AUAGAAAUACAGAAUGCAUAGAAAAUACAAGGGUAAGAAGAGGAAUCAUGUGGAAGAAGAGUAAACAUCUGAUGGUGUCCUGGGUAGCUGAAACUGUGGAAAGCAAAACCGUGGAUAAGGGGGAACUACUAUACUGAAAAUGUACAAAACAGAGAAGAUUUCAUUGAAGAAGUCUGCUGUUUCUGGAAUGGGAAAUUAAGAUAAAAAUUGAAGCUCUCAUCUUCUAUAACAUCAUUGGUUCUUUUGAAGCACAACUGGAACAGUUAUCGACUGUGAUUCUUGCUGGGACCAAUAACCUUCUACAAAUACCAACAUCAGUUUUUAUGAAAGGCAAAGAGCUGACAGGUUUACAGACUGCACCCUAACAUUAAGCUACCAGGAGAAACUUCCAAGUUACCCUCUUGUUACUUGUGCCCCAGAGGUGAACACUAUAAACUGCUACAGCAUGCAAUUUAGGGAGAGGUUCGUGAAGAAGUGAUUGGGAAAGAGAGCAAGUCUUGGUUGGACAGUGUGAUUCAAUAGAAAUGUGAGGAGGAAAACUGCAAUUAUUUCUGAACCUUCCCAUCAGCCUUGUCUCUGAUAGAAUUGGCCUGUUGUGGACGGGCUUUGUGUAGAUUAGAGAAAGAAGAAGAUGCUCUUUUGGUGUAAUUGUUCAGUUCCACAUGGCCGGGGAGGCCUCACGAUCAUGGCAGAAGGCAAGGAGGAGCAAGUCACAUCUUAUGUGGAUGGCAGCAGGCAAAGAGAGAGCGAGCUUGUGCAAGGAGACUCCCAUUUUUAAAACCAUCAGAUCUCGUGAGACUUAUUCACUAUCAGGAGAACAGCAAGCUAAAUCAGUGUGAGACCAAGGACCCUGGGGCUCCUCCAGUCAUUGCAGCUGUAUCACAACUACCCUGACAGAUUUCUUGCUCAGGGCAAGCCACCUGCCAUGUCUUGAGAACACUCAAGCAGCACAUGGCGAGGAAUGGAGAUGGACAGACAUGGGCCAGCAAGAAACAGGCUUGCCAACAACAGCUUGCGUGAUCCUGAAAGUGGGUCCUCUAGCCCCAUGUGACUGUUGCCCUGGCCAACAACUUAACUGCAACCUCAAGAGAUACCUACCCUGAGUCAGAACCACCCAGUCAAACUACCCCUGGCAUCUUAACUCAGAGUAACUGUGAGAUAAUUACUGUGAGAUAAUUAUGAUGAUUUUAAGCUUCUCAGUUUGGGGGUAAUUUGUUAUGCAGCAACAGAUAACAAAACACUUAGCAAAUGUUAUUCCAAUGUUAUUUGAUUGAGGGCCAUAGGGAUACAGGAGAAAAGAAAGGUGAACACUCGGGUUUAGAAAACAAAAGAAAUUACAAUCAAUCAAAUUAUUUUUCUAAUAAAAAGUGGGUACUUUGCAA